rnacentral:rRNA from 1 species
GAUGAACGCUGGCGGCGUGCCUAAUACAUGCAAGUCGAGCGAACAGACGAGGAGCUUGCUCCUUUGACGUUGGCGGCGGACGGGUGAGUAACACGUGGGUAACCUACCUAUAAGACUGGGAUAACUUCGGGAAACCGGAGCUAAUACCGGAUAAUAUUUCGAACCGCAUGGUUCGAUAGUGAAAGAUGGCUCUGCUAUCACUUAUAGAUGGACCUGCGCCGUAUUAGCUAGUUGGUAAGGUAACGGCUUACCAAGGCAACGAUACGUAGCCGACCUGAGAGGGUGAUCGGCCACACUGGAACUGAGACACGGUCCAGACUCCUACGGGAGGCAGCAGUAGGGAAUCUUCCGCAAUGGGCGAAAGCCUGACGGAGCAACGCCGCGUGAGUGAUGAAGGUCUUCGGAUCGUAAAACUCUGUUAUUAGGGAAGAACAAACGUGUAAGUAACUGUGCACGUCUUGACGGUACCUAAUCAGAAAGCCACGGCUAACUACGUG